rnacentral:rRNA from 1 species
GUGAACGCUGGCGGUAGGCCUAACACCUGCAAGUCGAACGGCAGCACAGUAAGAGCUUGCUCUUACGGGUGGCGAGUGGCGGACGGGUGAGGAAUACAUCGGAAUCUACUUUUUCGUGGGGGAUAUCGUAGGGAAACUUACGCUAAUACCGCAUACGACCUACGGGUGAAAGCAGGGGAUCUUCGGACCUUGCGCGAUUGCAUGAGCCGAUGUCGGAUUAGCUAGUUGGCGAGGUAAAGGCCCACCAAGGCGACGAUCCGUAGCUGGUCUGAGAGGAUGAUCGGCCACACUGGAACUGAGACACGGUCCAGACUCCUACGGGAGGCAGCAGUGGGGAAUAUUGGACAAUGGGCGCAAGCCUGAUCCAGCCAUACCGCGUGAGUGAAGAAGGCCUUCGGGUUGUAAAGCCCUUUUGUUGGGAAAGAAAAGCAGCAGGUUAAUACCCCGCUGUUCUGACGGUACCCAAAGAAUAAGCACCGGCUAACUUCGUG